rnacentral:rRNA from 1 species
AUUGAACGCUGGCGGCAGGCCUAACACAUGCAAGUCGAGCGGAUGAAGGGAGCUUGCUCCUGGAUUCAGCGGCGGACGGGUGAGUAAUGCCUAGGAAUCUGCCUGGUAGUGGGGGAUAACGUCCGUAAACGGGCGCUAAUACCGCAUACGUCCUGAGGGAGAAAGGGGGGGAUCUUCGGACCUCACGCUAUCAGAUGAGCCUAGGUCGGAUUAGCUAGUUGGUGGGGUAAAGGCCUACCAAGGCGACGAUCCGUAACUGGUCUGAGAGGAUGAUCAGUCACACUGGAACUGAGACACGGUCCAGACUCCUACGGGAGGCAGCAGUGGGGAAUAUUGGACAAUGGGCGAAAGCCUGAUCCAGCCAUGCCGCGUGUGUGAAGAAGGUCUUCGGAUUGUAAAGCACUUUAGGUUGGGAGGAAGGGCAGUAAGUUAAUACCUUGCUGUUUUGACGUUACCAACAGAAUAAGCACCGGCUAACUUCGUG